CUGUGCAUCCCUGGUUUGACGCUGAAGAAUUGCUCUGGUAUUGGUUAGCUCAUCAGCCAUAACCCUGCUUGCUAGGAAUUUGCUUCGCCACACAUCACACUGUAUAGACAUGCGCUCCAGUUGUUCAGACAACUGAGACAGAUUCCGGCCCAAGACUUCAUUUUCUAGGAUAAGCUGAUUUUUCUCACGAGCCAUCCGUUCAAAGUGAUACUGCAGAUCAUCCCC
rnacentral:lncRNA from 1 species